rnacentral:rRNA from 1 species
AUUGAACGCUGGCGGCAUGCUUUACACAUGCAAGUCGAACGGCAGCGCGGGCUUCGGCCUGGCGGCGAGUGGCGAACGGGUGAGUAAUGCCUCGGAACGUGCCCAGUAGUGGGGGAUAGCCCGGCGAAAGCCGGAUUAAUACCGCAUACGACCUGAGGGUGAAAGCGGGGGACCGUAAGGCCUCGCGCUAUUGGAGCGGCCGAUGUCGGAUUAGCUAGUUGGUGGGGUAAAGGCUUACCAAGGCGACGAUCCGUAGCUGGUCUGAGAGGACGACCAGCCACACUGGGACUGAGACACGGCCCAGACUCCUACGGGAGGCAGCAGUGGGGAAUUUUGGACAAUGGGGGCAACCCUGAUCCAGCCAUGCCGCGUGCGGGAAGAAGGCCUUCGGGUUGUAAACCGCUUUUGGUCGGGAAGAAAUCCUCUGAGCUAAUACCCCGGGGGGAUGACGGUACCGGAAGAAUAAGCACCGGCUAACUACGUG